GUCCACACCGUAACGUUGGCGCUAGGUGUGGGUCCAUUCCACGGAUUCCGUGCCGCAGCUAACGCAUUAAGCGCCCCGCCUGGGGAGUACGGCCGCAAGGCUAAAACUCAAAGGAAUUGACGGGGCCCGCACAAGCGGCGGAGCAUGCGGAUUAAUUCGAUGCAACGCGAAGAACCUUACCUGGGUUUGACAUAUGCCGGAAAGCCCCAGAGAUGGGGCCCCUUUUAGCGGUAUACAGGUGGUGCAUGGCUGUCGU
rnacentral:rRNA from 1 species